rnacentral:ribozyme from 1 species
AAAAAAAAAAAAAAAGGUGCAUGGAACGUGAAGCAAAUGAGUGCAUGUGUCUCUUGUUUUCAAGAUGUACUGUGUCGCUCGGGUCGGUGAGUGCAUAACACCUUUUUAUUGUUUUUGUUUUGUGUGACACUUUUCUUGAUCCCAACUCACACACUACUCGUCAAAAAAGACGAGUAUGUGUGGGGUG